UACGUAGGGUGCAAGCGUUAAUCGGAAUUACUGGGCGUAAAGCGUGCGCAGGCGGUUUUGUAAGUCUGUCGUGAAAUCCCCGGGCUCAACCUGGGAAUUGCGAUGGAGACUGCAAGGCUAGAAUCUGGCAGAGGGGGGUAGAAUUCCACGUGUAGCAGUGAAAUGCGUAGAGAUGUGGAGGAACACCGAUGGCGAAGGCAGCCCCCUGGGCUAACACUGAC
rnacentral:rRNA from 1 species